rnacentral:rRNA from 1 species
UACGGAGGGUGCAAGCGUUAUCCGGAUUCACUGGGUUUAAAGGGUGCGUAGGUGGGUUGGUAAGUCAGUGGUGAAAUCCCCGAGCUUAACUUGGGAACUGCCAUUGAUACUAUCAGUCUUGAAUACCGUGGAGGUCAGCGGAAUAUGUCAUGUAGCGGUGAAAUGCUUAGAUAUGACAUAGAACACCAAUUGCGAAGGCAGCUGACUACACGAAUAUUGACACUGAGGCACGAAAGCGUGGGGAGCAAACAGG